UACGUAGGGUGCAAGCGUUUAAUCGGAAUUACUGGGCGUAAAGCGUGCGCAGGCGGCUUUGCAAGACAGAUGUGAAAUCCCCGGGCUUAACCUGGGAAUGCAUUUGUGACUGCACGGCUAGAGUGUGUCAGAGGGGGGGUAGAAUUCCACGUGUAGCAGUGAAAUGCGUAGAUAUGUGGAGGAAUACCGAUGGCGAAGGCAGCCCCCCUGGGAUAACACUGACGCCUCAUGCACGAAAAGCGUGGGGGAGCAAACAGG
rnacentral:rRNA from 1 species